rnacentral:rRNA from 1 species
AUACGGAGGGUCCAAGCGUUAUCCGGAAUCAUUGGGUUUAAAGGGUUCGUAGGCGGGUCAAUAAGUCAGAGGUGAAAUCUUGCAGCUUAACUGUAAAAUUGCCUUUGAAACUGUUGACCUUGAAUUACUGUGAAGUGGUUAGAAUAUGUAGUGUAGCGGUGAAAUGCUUAGAGAUUACAUAGAAUACCGAUUGCGAAGGCAGAUCACUAACAGUAUGUUGACGCUGAUGAACGAAAGCGUGGGUAGCGAACGGGAUUAGAAACCCCAGUAGUCC